rnacentral:rRNA from 1 species
ACAUGCAAGUCGAGCGGAUGAAGAGAGCGUUGCUCUCUGUAUUCAGCGGCGGACGGGUGAGUAAUGCCUAGGAAUCUGCCUGAUAGUGGGGGACAACGUUCGAAAGGAACGCUAAUACCGCAUACGUCCUACGGGAGAAAGCAGGGGACCUUCGGGCCUUGCGCUAUCAGAUGAGCCUAGGUCGGAUUAGCUAGUAGGUGAGGUAAUGGCUCACCUAGGCGACGAUCCGUAACUGGUCUGAGAGGAUGAUCAGUCACACUGGAACUGAGACACGGUCCAGACUCCUACGGGAGGCAGCAGUGGGGAAUAUUGGACAAUGGGCGAAAGCCUGAUCCAGCCAUGCCGCGUGUGUGAAGAAGGUCUUCGGAUUGUUAAAGCACUUUAAGUUGGGAGGAAGGGCAGUAAGUUAAUACCUUGCUGUUUUGACGUUACCGACAGAAUAAGCACCGGCUAACUUCGUG